GUUAGCAUGCUGCCUGCUGGAUAAUAAAUGACUUCAUCUGCUGCAGCAGUGAGGAUACUAUUAAAAAUUAACCCUGGGAAAUGGUCCCGCAUAUUUUUUUCAUUCAGACCCAGACAAGGGGGAAGAGGAGAGGAAUGCUGUUGAAAUGGGAUUUGCAGAAAAGACAAGUGGUGCAGUAACAGAAAAAUAAAUUCAAUUUGCAGACUCCUGUCAUCCUCCGGAUCUUUGGAUCAGUCUCUCAGCCUCAUUCAUUGCUUCUGAGGAUAAACUUCUAAACACCUGCUGUGGCCGAAACUGUUCUUACGUCAUCUCCUGAAUACAGUGACUUCAAUCACAUGAAAUCAUGAGGUUAAUGCCACAGUCGAGACUUCAAAGCUGUUUCUGCAGACCUGAGCUUAUUUUUUUGAAAAUGCUACAGUAGCUGCUAGUUCUUAACCAACAGAAGAAUUACCAAACUUGUCAGUGUUCUGCUUAUCAUGCAAUACAAGAAGAUGGGAAAAUUUUCUAGAAGAACUGCAGUGUGGGUGGGGGUGGCAGUACCGUAGGAUGAGUUCUCCACUUAAUCUCAGAUCAGUUUUGAUUUUUGUCUUUUUGUAUAAAAUGGAGAUGAAUAUCCUCAUUCUGUAUUACCUACUUGAACCAGAUGACCUUUAAAAGGUGCCUUCCAACUCAAACUAUUCCGUGAUUUUAUGAAAUUGUUAGUUGUGCUAGAAAAGGGAUUCUCACAAGAAAAAAGGUGAUUACAGGGCUUACUAAUAAGGAUAAGAGAUCAGGCUUCAAGGGGAACUAUCUUCAGAGAGACACUUUGAACAAUCUUUCAGAAGGGGGGAGACACUGAUACGUAUCUAAAUGAGUCUGAUGGGUUAUGUGCAAUAGCAGAAAACUUUCCUCUGACCAGAAAGUCCCCUCUGGUUCUGUGUUUCUGAGUUGUAGGACAAUGAAAUUCUUAAAUCUUAAUUAUGAAAGUAGCGACAGCAAUUAUGUAUUGAUCAAUAAUAGUAAUUAUAGACUGGAUUGAUUGGAUGUUGCUUGUGACUGAAUAAAACCAGAAGAACAGACAAA